ensembl:lncRNA
UUUUUUUUUUUUUUUUUUUUUUUGAAACACAUCUGAAAAGUAGGCUCUCCAGGGAUAAAAGCAAUGGACUUAGGGGUUCAUGAGAAGUCAGAGGUCCAGCCUGAGACUACAAGCAGGGUCUGUCCCAGCCUUCCAGAGAAUGGGAUGGAUUUCUGAAGGAGCAUAUGUGACCAUCUCUCAGCUCCUUUCGUGCCGUGCACUGCCAUGCAAUAGCAGCUAAUAUCAGUUUGGCGUAGCUGUUUCUUGAUCAGUUUCUUGAUGGACAGAGAUCUGUAAGAUCUUGCACUAAAACGCCAACCACAUCCAACAGGAGAAUGGAAAGAUAUAAAAUAAGCUUUUGACUUCUGCAGUGCAGUUAGCCAGCUAUGACGAGAAAGAAAUACUUCUCAGUUCUCUAGUGAUAAUUGCUACUGAAAAUCAAGAGCAUUAGCAGUAUGUAAAAUCCCACCUGGAAAAUUCGCUGUGUAUUUUCAUUGCUCACUUGAUAGUUCUCAAGAUAUUCUGACUUGGCAAUGGGUACAGAAAUAAAGAUCCUGUGAAUGGUUUCUAAAAAAACACUUGAUUUAGGACAGAUCCUGUUUAAUUAUGUUUACAGAUAAUCCUGCUGCUGGGAGAAACUGAUCUUAGCAUUGACAUAUUAAUGUAAUGCUAUCGAGGGUGAAAAUGAACCAUCAGCAUCACAGCUAUGAGAAUGUUUAAGCAGUGCCGGCUGCUACAUUUAGUAGAUCCGUUACAUAGAUGUGCAUAUUUAUUGUAUCAGAACCACUCACAGUGGAGUAAAAUGUUUGCAGGAACAAUUAAUAUUGCUACUGAGAAUCUUUCUCUCAAUCUCUCUACGUACAUAACAAAAACACCUUGGUUUUUGCGACUAUUUUUUACCUGCUAACUCCUGGGAUGAUAUAUGUUGAAUGCAGGAUAUUUUAACACCUGGGCAAUACAACAGAUCGUAACACUUUAACUGCUUGUUAAGAUGAAAUAUUCUGCUUUUUAGGGCGUUUUAAGGUAAAAGGUGAUUAUGGCUUUCACAGUUUAUGUGGGUAUUGCACUCCAACUACUGUGGUAUGCAUGAAGGCACAGUGGAAUAAGUUGAUCCAUCUCUCUGGCUUGGGGUUAUUACUUGGUAGGACUAUAAAAAAAGAAAUUAAGAAAGAGCUCAGCCCUACAGCAGUCAGCACAAAUGUUGUGGGUUUUUUUUUUUUUUUUUCCUGAAUGUUUUUAAGUGGUUACAAAAAUCCACUGUCACCAGUACUUUGUCCUUUGUUGGAAGACGUGUUAUGAUACACUACUGCAUUCCCAUUCAUUGAAAUACAGUUUUAAGAAAUUGGAUCACAUCUCAGGAUCACAUAAUACUGAAAAAACUUGCAGGACAAGUUUCCCUUGGGUUUUGUGCUUUUCUCCUGAUUUCUGUUCUGGCUACAGAAGACAGUUGCAGAAGACAACUAUCUAACUGCUCACUACAAAGCAUGAGCUGCUUCUAGAUUUGCAUCCCCAGGUACAGAUCUUAGUUCUGAAAAAGCCAUGCUGGACUUUUCCCAGCUGGAAAUAUGCCUUACUGUGUGUUGGUAAAGAUACGAAGCGAGGCUCUAGACAGUCUAAACGCAACGUGCUCAGCUGAAACUUUUACCUACUUAGAAAACCAGGCAAUAUGGAAGUAUAAUUAGAACAGUGGCAUGUGAUAUGACUAAGGAGGAGAAGUAGCUUUCCUGCUUACUAUCAGGCUGAAAUUUUUAAAACUUUGAAACUAAACUAGAAGAUUUUUGGAAGGGGAACACAAUGACAGAACAAGCUACUACAAGUCAGUGUGAUCAUGACACAUUACCAUUUGGUCUUGGAAGGAAAAAGAUGAGAAGGAGGAACACUCAGCUAAUAAAGCUGAGAUGUUUGCUGUUUACCAAAACAGCCUAUUUCAGCUAGAGCAAAUCAUAGCUUUUCCUUUUUACUUGCAAUCUGUAUGAUUAAAGUCAUUAUAGUUCCUUGUAAGUCAUCCAAAGAAUCUGAAACAAUCUAUUCAUAGCAUGUACAAGGUAUACUGAGAAUACACUGAACCAGAUGAUAGGAUCUGUGAGAUAGAUGGGAUAUACUACAUUUCCCAAAAAUCCUUUGGAUACUGCCACAAACAAAGGCAACACUCACACCGUUCCUGAAGGGAAAUAAAGUGUAUUUCUUAUAUGUGAGGUCUAAGCAUGUGAGACAUGUGUCUGUAUGUUUAGUGCCACGCUAAUAUCACAAAAUACUUCCAAAACGACGUCUGGGGAAGUCCUGGGCUAAUAGGAAUUGACGGUAAUUGUAGCAGUCAACACUGCCCCCAAGUGGGAGUUGUUCCAACUGCAAUGGCCUCCUUUCUCGGCAUUGGUAAACGUAUUUGGAGUGCAUAGUGGAGUGUCAUCCCAUGAUUUCAUUUAACUGAAUUUUAAGAAAAUAAUUUUAAAAUCCAGAGUUUAUCAGCUGUUUCUUCACGACGCAAAGAAAUGCUGUACAAAUAUAAAACAGGAAACCAAGCUAAUUAGCGUUAUCCCAACAGGGCAAACAAAAACAUUGUGAGUUUAUUAACACCCAGAAAUAUUUUGCAAGAGACUUGGCACAUCUUUAAGUGUUGGUAAAAAGAAUCAAAACUACCAUCACAGAAGAUUCUGGAUAGUCCACGCAGUAUAACCAAGGGUAAAAUUCUUUCAAAUCAACAACCCACAACACCAGUCUCAAGGCAUCAGGUGAUGUUAGCCUCCCUCUACAUAAUUGAUCUCAGUCAACACACCUGACACGUACAAGACCUCAAUCUCAUUUAAAAAUAACUGGGGUCCUUUUUGGUAGUGUGUGUGUACUGAUAAAAAAGAAUUACGUUCUCCUCCAAAACCGAGACACAACAAGUGACUGAAGAGAUGGAGACAAUGCUUAGAUUUUCAGAGAUUCAUCUCAAGAGGAUUCACAAUGAAGUCACACACUUUGCAGACAGGAGAUGAAACACAUUCAGGAGAGAAGAGUGGCUACUUGGAUUUCUUGAGGACUAACAAUGCAGUCAUUCUUUUGCUUGUAAAAGUUUGAAUCUUGCAGCUCUUUGUCACAGCUUCAAAGAAUGCAUUAUUAGAAUGCACAGCAAAAAGCCUUGAUGCAGCAGUAAGUUCAUUCAUAUAAGACAGGUAAAGUGCGUUGUCAUUAUCUAUCACCUUUUCCACAGAUUAUCAAUGUUACUUUAAACCUUAUGUCAGCUGGGUUUUAGUAAGACAAUUAAGGGAUAACAGUUGGUCCAGCUUAAGUAUCGCAAAAUGCAGGGGCCUUAGGAAUACUUGAUUUUAUUAUUAAUUAUUCAUCUAGAAUAUACUAUGGAAUUUCAAUCCUAAAUUGCAAUAAUGCAACCCUAAGUUACCAUGCUUAAAUACUCCCAAUAAUAAAAAAAAUAAUUGGUCUAGGAGGAAUAAGAAACAAGGUUUUGAUCUCCACACAUAUAUAUAGCUGGAUAUUCAUACUGAAAUUGUAUGCGGUGGGGCAGCCAGGCAGAAGGUGCUGCACUUCUCUACCAAAGCACACCACAGAGAAGACUGAAAAGCACAUUUCAGUUAAGAAGAAAAGCAGGCAGGCUAUGAUUUCAUCUUCACUUUUCCUGAUAAAAAGCAAAUGGUUGCAAUUGCUUGCCAACAUUACAAAACAAGAGUUUUGUGAAACUUGUGUUCGUAGAUAUGCCUUACCACCAGGCUCCUGUGGUGAAAUCCCAUCUGUAUUGGUGCACAUUGUUACCCUGAGUCCCCAGGUUUGGUUUGUAUU